GGCUCAGAUUGAACGCUGGCGGCAUGCCUUACACAUGCAAGUCGAACGGCAGCGCGGGGCAACCUGGCGGCGAGUGGCGAACGGGUGAGUAAUAUAUCGGAACAUACCCUAGAGUGGGGGAUAACGUAGCGAAAGUUACGCUAAUACCGCAUACGCACUAAGGUGGAAAGUGGGGGAUUCGCAAGAACCUCAUGCUCAUGGAGUGGCCGAUAUCUGAUUAGCUAGUUGGUGAGGUAAAGGCUCACCAAGGCGACGAUCAGUAGCUGGUUUGAGAGAACGACCAGCCACACUGGAACUGAGACACGGUCCAGACUCCUACGGGAGGCAGCAGUGGGGAAUUUUGGACAAUGGGGGCAACCCUGAUCCAGCAAUGCCGCGUGAGUGAAGAAGGCCUUCGGGUUGUAAAGCUCUUUUGUCAGGGAAGAAACGGUGAGUUCUAAUAAAGCUUGCUAAUGACGGUACCUGAAGAAUAAGCACCGGCUAACUACGUG
rnacentral:rRNA from 1 species